rnacentral:misc_RNA from 1 species
UUCGGCCUGCCCGCCACCUGG